AGAUUGAACGCUGGCGGCAGGCCUAACACAUGCAAGUCGAGCGGUAGAGGGGUGCUUGCAUCUCUUGAGAGCGGCGGACGGGUGAGUAAUGCCUAGGAAUCUGCCUAGUGGUGGGGGAUAACGUUCGGAAACGGACGCUAAUACCGCAUACGUCCUACGGGAGAAAGCGGGGGACCUUCGGGCCUCGCGCCAUUAGAUGAGCCUAGGUCGGAUUAGCUAGUUGGUGAGGUAAUGGCUCACCAAGGCGACGAUCCGUAACUGGUCUGAGAGGAUGAUCAGUCACACUGGAACUGAGACACGGUCCAGACUCCUACGGGAGGCAGCAGUGGGGAAUAUUGGACAAUGGGCGCAAGCCUGAUCCAGCCAUGCCGCGUGUGGGAAGAAGGCCUUCGGUUGUAAACCGACUUUUGUCUAGGAAGAAACGGCCCGUUAACUAAUAAUUAGGGACGUAAUAGACGGUACCUGAAGAAUAAGACACCGACUAACUACGUAGCCAGCAGCCGACGGUAAC
rnacentral:rRNA from 1 species